UGCGGAGGGAUCAUUG
rnacentral:rRNA from 6 species